AUUGAACGCUGGCGGCAUGCCUUACACAUGCAAGUCGAACGGCAGCACGGGUGCUUGCACCUGGUGGCGAGUGGCGAACGGGUGAGUAAUACAUCGGAAUGUACCUUGUAGUGGGGGAUAGCUCGGCGAAAGCCGGAUUAAUACCGCAUACGCUCUGAGGAGGAAAGCGGGGGACCUUCGGGCCUACGUGCUACAAGAGCAGCCGAUGUCAGAUUAGCUUGUUGGUGAGGUAAAAGCUCACCAAGGCGACGAUCUGUAGCUGGUCUGAGAGGACGACCAGCCACACUGGGACUGAGACACGGCCCAGACUCCUACGGGAGGCAGCAGUGGGGAAUUUUGGACAAUGGGCGAAAGCCUGAUCCAGCAAUGCCGCGUGUGUGAAGAA
rnacentral:rRNA from 1 species